GACGAACGCUGGCGGCGUGCUUAACACAUGCAAGUCGAACGAAGAGCGACGGAAGCUUGCUUCUAUCAAUCUUAGUGGCGAACGGGUGAGUAACGCGUAAUCAACCUGCCCUUCAGAGGGGGACAACAGUUGGAAACGACUGCUAAUACCGCAUACGAUCUAACCUCGGCAUCGAGGAUAGAUGAAAGGUGGCCUCUACAUGUAAGCUAUCACUGAAGGAGGGGAUUGCGUCUGAUUAGCUAGUUGGAGGGGUAACGGCCCACCAAGGCGAUGAUCAGUAGGCAGGUCGGGGAGAGGGAGCGGCCCAUGGGGGCGGGAGAACGGGCCCAGACUGCCGGGGGGGGCAGGAGGGGGGAUUCUUCCGAAAUGGGAGAGAGUGUGAGGACGCAACGCGGGGGGAGUAAGGAGGGUCUUCGGGUGAAAAGUCUCUGUUAAGGGGGAGGAAGGGCUUUUUUGCAAAUAGGGAGAGGGUUGGACGGAACCGAAAUAGAAAGCCCGGGAUAAUUACGUG
rnacentral:rRNA from 1 species